CCUACGGGGGGCAGCAGUAGGGAAUAUUGCUCAAUGGGGGAAACCCUGAAGCAGCAACGCCGCGUGGAGGAUGAAGGUUUUCGGAUUGUAAACUCCUUUUGUUAGAGAAGAUAAUGACGGUAUCUAACGAAUAAGCACCGGCUAACUCCGUGCCAGCAGCCGCGGUAAUACGGAGGGUGCAAGCGUUACUCGGAAUCACUGGGCGUAAAGAGCGCGUAGGCGGGAUAGCAAGUCAGAUGUGAAAUCCUAUGGCUUAACCAUAGAACUGCAUUUGAAACUGUUAUUCUAGAGUAUGGGGGAGGUAGGUGGAAUUCUUGGUGUAGGGGUAAAAUGCGUAGAGAUCAAGAGGAAUACUCAUUGCGAAGGCGACCUGCUAGAACAUAACUGACGCUGAUGCGCGAAAGCGUGGGGAGCAAACAGGAUUAGAUACCCCAGUAGUC
rnacentral:rRNA from 1 species